CCAGGUGCCCGAUAUCCUAUACUGUCUAAAUAGAAAAUCCCACUGAUUCAAAGGAGAUACUAAAGAACUAUACAAAUUUGUACUGUCCUCUUGCUGCACAAAUACCAUAACUUGGAGUCUGGUCUAUGUUCACUUGACAUGAGGAGAAUUCUAUUUCCAGUUUAAUUCACCUGAAGAGAGACAUCUCAAUGUGCAUCUUCCAGAGGGAAGAAUGUUACAGAGCAAGGCUUAGGGCUUUAACCCAGGAAAACUAAUGUGAAAGAUAGCUGGAGGUAUGAUGGCCACUCUUCCAUCAUCAGGGAGCCAGCAACUUCAGUGUUUUGGCUCCACCACCUUGGAAUACGGCUUCCACUUUCAUUGCAUGUUUUAAGAUGACUGCAGAUAUGCCGGUCAUCAUGUUCGUGUUCUAAGCAACACAGAAGAAUGGAGAAGGACAAAAGGGGGGCAAUUACCAGCUCAGUCAGAGCCCCUUAAGAAACCUCCAUGGAAUUCCAUACAGCAAUCCUCUUCUUCUCUAAGUCCCUUCAUGAUAU